UCCGGUUUGUCACCGGCAGUCUCCUUAGAGUGCCCAACUAAAUGAUGGCAACUAAGGGCGAGGGUUGCGCUCGUUGCGGGACUUAACCCAACAUCUCACGACACGAGCUGACGACAGCCAUGCAGCACCUGUGUCCUAGUUCUCUUUCGAGCACUCCUACAUCUCUGCGGGAUUCUAGGCAUGUCAAGGGUAGGUAAGGUUUUUCGCGUUGCAUCGAAUUAAACCACAUGCUCCACCGCUUGUGCGGGCCCCCGUCGAUUCCUUUGAGUUUUAAUCUUGCGACCGUACUCCCCAGGCGGAAUGCUUAAAGCGUUAGCUGCGCCACUAGUGAGUAAACCCACUAACGGCUGGCAUUCAUCGUUUACGGCGUGGACUAC
rnacentral:misc_RNA from 1 species